rnacentral:rRNA from 1 species
UACGAAGGGGGCUAGCGUUGCUCGGAAUCACUGGGCGUAAAGCGCACGUAGGCGGCUUUCUAAGUCAGGGGUGAAAUCCUGGAGCUCAACUCCAGAACUGCCUUUGAUACUGGGAAGCUUGAGUCCGGGAGAGGUGAGUGGAACUGCGAGUGUAGAGGUGAAAUUCGUAGAUAUUCGCAAGAACACCUGAGGCGAAGGCGGGUUGCUGGGCCGACACUGACGCUGAGGCGCGAAAGCCAGGGGAGCAAACGGG